UACGAAGGGUGCAAACGUUGCUCGGAAUUAUUGGGCGUAAAGCGCACGUAGGCGGCUUGGCAAGUCGGAUGUGAAAUCCCUCGGCUCAACCAAGGAAGUGCAUCCGAAACUGCUGAGCUUGAGUACGAAAGAGGAUCGCGGAAUUCCCGGUGUAGAGGUGAAAUUCGUAGAUAUCGAGAGGAACAUCGGUGGCGAAGGCGGCCUUCUGGACGGUGACUGACGCUGAGACGCGAAAGCGUGGGGAGCAAACAGG
rnacentral:rRNA from 1 species